AUUGAACGCUGGCGGCAGGCUUAACACAUGCAAGUCGAGCGGAGAGAGGUAGCUUGCUACUGAUCUUAGCGGCGGACGGGUGAGUAAUGCUUAGGAAUCUGCCUAUUAGUGGGGGACAACAUUUCGAAAGGAAUGCUAAUACCGCAUACGUCCUACGGGAGAAAGCAGGGGAUCUUCGGACCUUGCGCUAAUAGAUGAGCCUAAGUCGGAUUAGCUAGUUGGUGGGGUAAAGGCCUACCAAGGCGACGAUCUGUAGCGGGUCUGAGAGGAUGAUCCGCCACACUGGGACUGAGACACGGCCCAGACUCCUACGGGAGGCAGCAGUGGGGAAUAUUGGACAAUGGGCGCAAGCCUGAUCCAGCCAUGCCGCGUGUGUGAAGAAGGCCUUAUGGUUGUAAAGCACUUUAAGCGAGGAGGAGGCUACUUUAGUUAAUACCUAGAGAUAGUGGACGUUACUCGCAGAAUAAGCACCGGCUAACUCUGUGCCAGCCGCCGCGGCCGUAA
rnacentral:rRNA from 1 species